AGAUUAAGUUAUUAAGGGCGCACGGUGGAUGCCUUGGCACUAGAAGCCGAUGAAGGGCGUUACUAACGACGAUAUGCUUUGGGGCGCUGUAAGUAAGCUUUGAUCCAGAGUUUUCCGAAUGGGGAAACCCAGCAUGAGUUAUGUCAUGUUAUCGUUCUGUGAAUAC
rnacentral:rRNA from 1 species